AAAAUGUUAGAUUCAUUUCAGAAACAGUCCCUGGCAAGGAAACUUGGUUUUAUUAAUACUAUCAUAUGCUACACAUCAUGCCAAACAGAUAUUGCAUGUUUUACAUAACAUAUUAAUAAAUGUUCUGUUUGAUGGAAGAGAGGUGGCCAUCAGGUUCAAGUGUUAGCUCAUCAUGCAGACCCCCAAGGUUUUAUUCUUUCCAUGGUUAAGGUGUGUUAAGCCCAUUGUAGUGUAUCAUAAAUUGCUCAUGGAUUUCAUAGAAUAUGGCUGGGUGUAGGGUACAUUUUGAAAGCCAUCAAAGUAUGUUUACUGUAAGGUACAAUUACUUUUAUUGGUUUUUGACUGUUAAAAUGUGGAUUUUGUAAAGUAAGAUUUUUAUUUAUUACAGCUUUUGUAUUUAGUACUUUACAAAGUAUUUAUUACUUAACCUAAUUAGUAGAUUUUAUCUAUUUUCAAAAGGUCUUUUCAAAUAAUAUUUCCUGUUUUUCUGGUGCUAUCAGAAGUGUAUGACUAUUUGAUAAUAAUUUGUUUGAUAUUUUGUACUAUUUUUCAGAGGAAAUAGGAAAAUGAUGUGAACAGUUAACAGAAUUUGCUAUUACUAUUUGUGCCAUGAAUCUGUAGAAUUCCAUGAUGUAGAUGUGCGAGACCAGAGAUGAGAAUUGUAGGUUGUACAAACUGUCAGUUUGUGAUUUUCAUCCUGGAUAGAUCACCAGCCAACUGUUUACCUGUGCUCUGUCUAUGGUGGAUGUUGACAGGUAAAUGUGGCUUGGACUGGUUAUGGCUGGUAGAAAUGGGGUAUACAAAAUGUAUCUAUAUUGUUAGCAUAGUGAUCUCUGCUUCAUACGACUUCAAUAAUCUGUAAAGUUGGAAAUAUAUUCAGAUUUAUGUGAAAUAAGAUGCAUUGCUUUCUGUUUCAAGAAUAACCACUCUCUGAUGGGUUUUUUCCUUUUUGAUGUUUCAUCACUUGAUUUGCCUUUCAACCAAUACAGAAUAUCAGAUAAAAUGUGCCGAUUUUAAACCAUGAUGGAAAGUUUGGCACUGUUAAUCUUGUCAAGCAGUAAAUGUUUUUAUUUAUUUAUUUUUCAAAUAUUGGGGUGCCAUUCUUAAUUUUAUAUUUCUUGCAAGCCUACAGGCAAGUACCAACUUACAGUGUUUGAAGCAGACUUCUGUACAUGGUGACUUCAGUGAAGUACAAUAUUUGCCACAAGUGACCUUGGCACAUAGAAAAUUGAUAGACGAAAAUUAGAGAAAAAUGAUAUAAAAGUUAAAACUGUUCUCAAAGAACACAUUGUUUCCAAUGUCCAUGAAACUGCAGUGUAUCUGAUAAUAAUUAUUAGAUUGUCAGAUAAUUUUUAAUAUUCACAAGCAAAUAAAGGUUAUGUCAGUUUUACUGGCUUAGUACUGAGUGCACAUAAAGACUACUUGCAGACUCAUCUAGAAGUUGGGCAUGGUGUGCCCUGGGGGCUUUCCAUAGUGUUUCUCAAUGAAAUUGUUGCUAUAAUAAUCCAUGUGAGCCAAUUGUUGUAAUUUUCAAAAACAGUUCUUCAGACUUUGGCUUCUUAUAAUCGUUU